GUAGCGGGAGCGCUGUGCCGUCAGGCCUGACACAUGCGAAUCGAGCGAGGGCACAGAGAGCUUGCUCUCGGGUGACGAGCGGCGGACGGGUGAGUAAUGUCUGGGAAACUGCCUGAUGGAGGGGGAUAACUACUGGAAACGGUAGCUAAUACCGCAUAACGUCGCAAGACCAAAGUGGGGGACCUUCGGGCCUCAUGCCAUCAGAUGUGCCCAGAUGGGAUUAGCUAGUAGGUGGGGUAAUGGCUCACCUAGGCGACGAUCCCUAGCUGGUCUGAGAGGAUGACCAGCCACACUGGAACUGAGACACGGUCCAGACUCCUACGGGAGGCAGCAGUGGGGAAUAUUGCACAAUGGGCGCAAGCCUGAUGCAGCCAUGCCGCGUGUAUGAAGAAGGCCUUCGGGUUGUAAAGUACUUUCAGCGAGGAGGAAGGCAUUAAGGUUAAUAACCUUGGUGAUUGACGUUACUCGCAGAAGAAGCACCGGCUAACUCCGUGCCAGCAGCCGCGGUAAUACGGAGGGUGCAAGCGUUAAUCGGAAUUACUGGGCGUAAAGCGCACGCAGGCGGUCUGUCAAGUCGGAUGUGAAAUCCCCGGGCUCAACCUGGGAACUGCAUUCGAAACUGGCAGGCUAGAGUCUUGUAGAGGGGGGUAGAAUUCCAGGUGUAGCGGUGAAAUGCGUAGAGAUCUGGAGGAAUACCGGUGGCGAAGGCGGCCCCCUGGACAAAGACUGACGCUCAGGUGCGAAAGCGUGGGGAGCAAACAGGAUUAGAUACCCUGGUAGUCCACGCCGUAAACGAUGUCGACUUGGAGGUUGUGCCCUUGAGGCGUGGCUUCCGGAGCUAACGCGUUAAGUCGACCGCCUGGGGAGUACGGCCGCAAGGUUAAAACUCAAAUGAAUUGACGGGGGCCCGCACAAGCGGUGGAGCAUGUGGUUUAAUUCGAUGCAACGCGAAGAACCUUACCUACUCUUGACAUCCAGAGAACUUAGCAGAGAUGCUUUGGUGCCUUCGGGAACUCUGAGACAGGUGCUGCAUGGCUGUCGUCAGCUCGUGUUGUGAAAUGUUGGGUUAAGUCCCGCAACGAGCGCAACCCUUAUCCUUUGUUGCCAGCGGUCCGGCCGGGAACUCAAAGGAGACUGCCAGUGAUAAACUGGAGGAAGGUGGGGAUGACGUCAAGUCAUCAUGGCCCUUACGAGUAGGGCUACACACGUGCUACAAUGGCAUAUACAAAGAGAAGCGACCUCGCGAGAGCAAGCGGACCUCAUAAAGUAUGUCGUAGUCCGGAUUGGAGUCUGCAACUCGACUCCAUGAAGUCGGAAUCGCUAGUAAUCGUAGAUCAGAAUGCUACGGUGAAUACGUUCCGCGGGCCUUGUACACACCGCCCGUCACACCAUGGGAGUGGGUUGCAAAAGAUGUAGGUAGCUUAACCUUCGGGAGGGCGCUUACCACUUUGUGACUCAUGACUGUGGUGAAGUCGUAGCCAAGGUAGCUCGUCUGCACUCCCCCCGAAC
rnacentral:rRNA from 1 species